AGGAGAGGGAGCUGCAGCCCGGACUGGUGUGUGGGUGGGAAGGCUGCCAAUGCAUUUCUCUGCUUUUUUUUUCACCGCUGAGCUUGAUUCCUCGUGGAGGGCGGAUGGCAGACAUUUCGCUCUGACACCUGAUGCCUAUGCAUUCGAAAGACUUCCCCAGGUGCCUGGGUCUAAGAACCACCGUCUGCCUUUGAGUAGAGUUUCUACAAACGUAACAUUCACCGAUGGAUGGAAGAUGGCCACAGCUCUAAAAUCACAGGGAGCUUUAGCAGAAGAAUAUAGAAGAUCACAGCUGUUCCCAUGGACUAAGCUGGCAGGUGACAGCCCCCUAACUUCUCAGCUCACACCUAACGGUGUCUGUGUCUGGUGAAAGCUGCUUCAGCAGGGACAGUCAGAGAGCAGCGUGGAGUGAGCUGGCUUGUGGGGUCAUUUUUUCAGUUUCCUCCUUUGGGGCCUGGGAGAAGGGAGCGGCAGACGGCCAGGCCCCCACCACAGGUCAUUGAGGUCACCUCCAGGUGGCUGCCGUGGUGGGGUGGGGUGGGGGCAUGUUCACACCCACUCCGAGGGCACAUCCCGGCUGCUGCACACCCUUCACCUCUGCAAUGCUGGGACUGCAUGCUCAGGCACAGUAGGGGGCCUUGCUGCACUCACUCAUCGGGUAGCUCUGGGAUGGUGGGUGCGCCCUAGGCUGGAGUGACUGUGACCACAUCAAGCAGUCCGCUACUUGGGCGGCUACUGUGGCUACCUGGCCAACAUGAGGGGCUCGCGGCCAGAGCCGACGCUGUACACAUUUUUGAAGAGCCCUUCGACAUCAGGGAUCUGCAGUCCAGUGUGGAGCACCUGACAGAGAAAAUGAAGACCACCAUCCAGAGGGGCCUUGUGCUCAGGAAAAAAAUUGACCACUGAUGAUUCCAUUUGUGUGCUGGGAAUAAGCAAAAGAAACGUUAUUUUUCAACCUGUGGCAGAGCUGAAGAAGCAAACGUAUUUUGAGUAAAUCGGAGUUUUAUUGCCUUAGCAAACCCAGCCAAUGCACAGGAUUCCCAAAGAACAGUGGUGGCUCAAGCUGCGGCCCCUCAUGAAGAUCUUGGCCAAGUACAAGGCCAGCUACGACGUGUCGGACUCAGGCCAGCUAGAGCACGUGCAGCCCUGGAGCGUCUGACCCAGUCCUGC